rnacentral:lncRNA from 1 species
GUCUUUUAAAACUUUGGCUCCCGUUAAGUCCGUUAGCUUCCACCGUUAACUCACUUAAAAAACAUUAAAGAAAAGGGGUAGUUAUGUAAAAACAGAACUCCUCCUUCCACAGACCCAUUGAUCGCCUGCGUUCAUCUUCUUCCUUCCUCCAUUCUUCAUUUCUCCGACCUGUGCUCCCAGUCAGCGGCGUUACCGCAACGGUGCUUUGGCCACCGAUUUUCUCAAUUAAUCCCCUCCGUUCUAUUCCCAAACUCACACAACACAAUCAACCCAAUAAAUCAGGAAUUUAUUGAUCAAUAUCAGUACCAUCAGUACCUGUAGCGGACGGCCUCUGCAAGAUUGUAACCAUCUGGAAUGGUAAUUAGCGUGCACCGAGCCAAAGAGGAAUUAUCCUUAAGAUUGUGCAAACACUUGAUGCAUUUAUUCAAUUCUUACAUCCCUAAAUAUUCCUCCUAGAUCAUGCUAUUUUCUCCAUACCCGAUUAUCCAGUUUUGAAUGGAAGCUGGUGAUGCGUAAUGCCUGGAAACACACUCGAUGUGUCUGCAUCAUCAUAUCCGUAAAAAAGCAAGCCUCAUAUUCAGUUUGGGAACCGACAAUAUAAACAUCAGCUUUAUCUAUUACCCGAGUGAUGCACUUCUCAUCGGAAUCAAAGAACGCCCCUUGAAGAUAUCGAUCAGAUUUUAGCAAUUUGACUGAUUUGUAGAGUCUGGGUAUGCCAUGAACCUUG